AGGAGCGUAGUUCAAUUGGUAGAGCGCCGGUCUCCAAAACCGGAGGUUGUGGGUUCGAGUCCCUCCGCUCCUGCCA
rnacentral:tRNA from 10 species